GGACCGGUCAUAAAGUAUUUACUAGGGGGUGUGGAGGAUAUUUUUUGGGGGUACGAAAAAACCCCUGAACCUCUGAGGGUGGUACGAAGAAAACAACAGAACCUCCAGGGGGGUACCAAAAUCUUAAUAGUAUAUAGGUACGGAAAAACAUUACAUUUUGCAAUUAUUGUUGAAUAUUGAAUGUAUUUGUGCCCAGAUUUAAGUUUGGAAAGAAUUGUUUUACUAUAUUAUUAUUAAAUCAACACAAAGUAUAUUUGUUUCAGUCUGACUCAAUGUCAGAUGAUAAUUAGUAGGAUUCAGUAUCCGUGGAACUUUUGGAAUACAAAUCCGAUACAUCUGAAUUGUCAAUGACAAUGCUAGCAAGCUCACACCAUUAGAACCUGUUAAUGAUUGAAGGGGGAGGGGGAGAGUUAAGGAAAUUGUCACUUACAUUGAAGGGGGUUACGAAAAUUUUUC